rnacentral:rRNA from 1 species
GAUGAACGCUCGCGGCGUGCCUAAUACAUGCAAGUCGAGCGAACAGACGAGGAGCUUGCUCCUCUGACGUUAGCGGCGGACGGGUGAGUAACACGUGGAUAACCUACCUAUAAGACUGGGAUAACUUCGGGAAACCGGAGCUAAUACCGGAUAAUAUAUUGAACCGCAUGGUUCAAUAGUGAAAGACGGUUUUGCUGUCACUUAUAGAUGGAUCCGCGCCGCAUUAGCUAGUUGGUAAGGUAACGGCUUACCAAGGCAACGAUGCGUAGCCGACCUGAGAGGGUGAUCGGCCUCACUGGAACUGAGACACGGUCCAGACUCCUACGGGAGGCAGCAGUAGGGAAUCUUCCGCAAUGGGCGAAAGCCUGACGGAGCAACGCCGCGUGAGUGAUGAAGGUCUUCGGAUCGUAAAACUCUGUUAUUAGGGAAGAACAAAUGUGUAAGUAACUAUGCACGUCUUGACGGUACCUAAUCAGAAAGCCACGGCUAACUACGUG